rfam:Oryza sativa Indica Group scaffold000679 genomic scaffold, whole genome shotgun sequence.
AAUAAUUGUCGUUUGAGUUUUUGUUUGUAACAGUUUGAUCAUUCGUCUUAUUCAAAUAAUUAUGGAAUUAUUAUUUAUUUUGUUUGUGACUUGCUUUAUUAUCAAAAGUACUUUACGUAUGACUUAUCCUUUUUUAUAUUUACACUAACUAUUUAAAUAAGACAAACGGUCAAAUGUUGCACGCAAAAAUUCAAACUGAUA